UGUAUAUAUAUUCGGUGUAUUAAACCAUCUGAUAUCCGAAAACUACAUUGGGCCCUGGCUAAUCAGAUUUGAGUCAGGUAAGACCACUAGAACGACAAAUCUCUCCCAACAAGUAUUUAACGCAGCUGCAUUCCCAAGUCUCGAAUCGAGGACCUUGGUUAAGGUAGAACAGCCCCAUGCUAACUGAUUUACACACUUGUUGGUAAAAAAAAAAAAAGUCUUUAUAUUAAUUGAUGUUAGAACAUAUAUAUAGUUGCCCAAAAAUUAAUAUAUGUACAUUGUGCAUAGACAUAAAAUUGAUGUGCGUACUUUUAAAUUUAUUACUCUAGAUACAAGAUAAUGUAUUUUAGAUGCUUAAAGUACAUAUAAUAUAAACUCUAUAAAUAAGUAUUUUGGAUGUUUAAAGUACAUAAAUUCUAUAAAUUCAUCAGUGGUUAGUUUUAUUUUCAGUCCCACAUAAUUAGACACAUAUUUUGAAAAAGAGUAAAAUUGAGAAAAUUGAAGUUGUCAAAAAAUA
rnacentral:lncRNA from 1 species